rnacentral:rRNA from 1 species
CAGUCGCCGCGGUAAUACCGAGGGUGCGAGCGUUAAUCGGAUUUACUGGGCGUAAAGCGUGCGUAGGCGGCUUCUUAAGUCGGAUGUGAAAUCCCUGAGCUUAACUUAGGAAUUGCAUUCGAUACUGGGAAGCUAGAGUAUGGGAGAGGAUGGUAGAAUUCCAGGUGUAGCGGUGAAAUGCGUAGAGAUCUGGAGGAAUACCGAUGGCGAAGGCAGCCAUCUGGCCUAAUACUGACGCUUAGGUACGAAAGCAUGGGGAGCAAACAGGAUUAGAUACCCGUGUAGUCCCUGUCUCUUAUAC